GGAGGGGUACCGAAGCGGUCAAACGGGGCAGACUGUAAAUCUGUUGGCGUAGCCUUCGCAGGUUCGAAUCCUGCCCCCUCCACCA
rnacentral:tRNA from 1 species